CCUACGGGUGACAGCAGUGGGGAAUAUUGCACAAUGGACGCAAGCCUUACCCAGCAACGCCGCGUGAAUGAAGAAGGUCUUCGGCUCGUAAACUUCUUUCAUUAGGGACGAAAAAAAUGACGGUACCUGAAUAAUAAGCCCCGGCUAACUACGUGCCAGCAGCCGCGGUAAUACGUAGGGGGCAAGCGUUGUCCGGAAUUACUGGGGGUAAAGGGUGAGUAGGCGGGAUGGUAAGCAAGAGGUGAAAACCUUGGGCUUAAACCGAGGGUUGCAUUUAAAACUGGCAAGCUUGAGUGCAGGAGAGGAAAGCGGAAUUCCUAGUGUAGCGGUGAAAUGCGUAGAUAUUAGGAAGAACAUCAGUGGCGAAGGCGGCUUUCUGGACUGAAACUGACGCUGAGGCACGAAAGUGUGGGGAGCGAACAGGAUUAGAUACCCUUGUAGUC
rnacentral:rRNA from 1 species